GACGAACGCUGGCGGCGUGCCUAAUACAUGCAAGUAGAACGCUGAAGAGAGGAGCUUGCUCUUCUUGGAUGAGUUGCGAACGGGUGAGUAACGCGUAGGUAACCUGCCUUGUAGCGGGGGAUAACUAUUGGAAACGAUAGCUAAUACCGCAUAACAAUGGAUGACACAUGUCAUUUAUUUGAAAGGGGCAAUUGCUCCACUACAAGAUGGACCUGCGUUGUAUUAGCUAGUAGGUGAGGUAAUGGCUCACCUAGGCGACGAUACAUAGCCGACCUGAGAGGGUGAUCGGCCACACUGGGACUGAGACACGGCCCAGACUCCUACGGGAGGCAGCAGUAGGGAAUCUUCGGCAAUGGGGGCAACCCUGACCGAGCAACGCCGCGUGAGUGAAGAAGGUUUUCGGAUCGUAAAGCUCUGUUGUAAGUCAAGAACGGGUGUGAGAGUGGAAAGUUCACACUGUGACGGUAGCUUACCAGAAAGGGACGGCUAACUACGUGCCAGCAGCCGCGGUAAUACGUAGGUCCCGAGCGUUGUCCGGAUUUAUUGGGCGUAAAGCGAGCGCAGGCGGUUUGAUAAGUCUGAAGUUAAGGCUGUGGCUCAACCAUAGUUCGCUUUGGAAACUGUCAAACUUGAGUGCAGAAGGGGAGAGUGGAAUUCCAUGUGUAGCGGUGAAAUGCGUAGAUAUAUGGAGGAACACCGGUGGCGAAAGCGGCUCUCUGGUCUGUAACUGACGCUGAGGCUCGAAAGCGUGGGGAGCGAACAGGAUUAGAUACCCUGGUAGUCCACGCCGUAAACGAUGAGUGCUAGGUGUUGGAUCCUUUCCGGGAUUCAGUGCCGCAGCUAACGCAUUAAGCACUCCGCCUGGGAGUACGACCGCAAGGUUGAAACUCAAAGAAAUUGACGGGGGCCCGCACAAGCGGUGGAGCAUGUGGUUUAAUUCGAAGCAACGCGAAGAACCUUACCAGGUCUUGACAUCCCGAUGCUAUUUCUAGAGAUAGAAAGUUACUUCGGUACAUCGGUGACAGGUGGUGCAUGGUUGUCGUCAGCUCGUGUCGUGAGAUGUUGGGUUAAGUCCCGCAACGAGCGCAACCCCUAUUGUUAGUUGCCAUCAUUCAGUUGGGCACUCUAGCGAGACUGCCGGUAAUAAACCGGAGGAAGGUGGGGAUGACGUCAAAUCAUCAUGCCCCUUAUGACCUGGGCUACACACGUGCUACAAUGGUUGGUACAACGAGUUGCGAGUCGGUGACGGCGAGCUAAUCUCUUAAAGCCAAUCUCAGUUCGGAUUGUAGGCUGCAACUCGCCUACAUGAAGUCGGAAUCGCUAGUAAUCGCGGAUCAGCACGCCGCGGUGAAUACGUUCCCGGGCCU
rnacentral:rRNA from 1 species